UACGGAGGGGGCGAGCGUUAUUCGGAAUUAUUGGGCGUAAAGGGCGCGUAGGCGGCUUGACAAGUCAAAGGUGAAAUCCCUCGGCUCAACUGAGGAACUGCCUUUGAAACUGUCAGGCUUGAGGCCGGGAGGGGGUAGCGGAAUUCCCAAUGUAGCGGUGAAAUGCGUAGAUAUCGGGAGGAACACCAGUGGCGAAGGCGGCUACCUGGACCGGUACUGACGCUGAGGCGCGAAAGCGUGGGGAGCAAACAGG
rnacentral:rRNA from 1 species